rnacentral:rRNA from 1 species
UGCGUAGGUGGUUGUUUAAGUCUGUCGUGAAAGCCCUGGGCUCAACCUGGGAAUUGCGAUGGAUACUGGGCGACUAGAGUGUGGUAGAGGAUAGUGGAAUUUCCGGUGUAGCAGUGAAAUGCGUAGAGAUCGGAAGGAACAUCUGUGGCGAAGGCGACUAUCUGGGCCAACACUGACACUGAGGCACGAAAGCGUGGAAGCAAACA